rnacentral:lncRNA from 1 species
ACAAUGGAAAAAGAAUUAAAAAGAAUUUGAAAAUACAAAGAGAUUGGUUUGAAUUAAAUCCCAAAUUUGGGCCAUUUUUUCACCCAGCUCGCCAGGCCCAAGCAGUCCAGGCCCAAGCGAAUGCCCAACCCGGUCCGGUCCUAAGAGGGCUAAACGACGCCGUUUAAGGCAGGGUCAAUCACGACCCUUGAUCUUCCCUCAUCCAACAGCCCUUAAUUUUUGCUGGAUAAUUAUAUAAUGGUCGGAUUCUUUAAUUAAAUCAAAAUACAGCAGCCUCUUCCUCGUAUUACCUCCUAGCCCCUCCGGAACCCUCGCUGGCGGGAAGUGCAACCUAUGUCACAGGCCACCAAAUCAACGCCAUUGAUACCCUUUCCUCUCCUCUUUCCAACCCCCACACCAUCAUUUCUCGAAUCUUCCCCCAGGUCGUCGAAUAUCUAUUUGAAGAUUUUCCGUCCAUGACGUCAACUAUUCCAAGUCGCUCCAAACUUAUACCAUUGACUCUCCAAACUUCCUUCAACACAAAUAUAUGACCAUCUUGUCUUGAAUCUGGCCGAAAGUGUCGAAUUUCAGUUUGAUUUUCGGUCAAAAAUCCUAGGCGCUUUGAAGUACUACAAAUUGGUGCUGCGUGAUCUUCGGGCUUGCCUCAUGAUGAAUUCAACGUUUGCCAUUGAAGUUGGUCGAAUCUUAUAACCAGUAAGUUCCUCACAGUUUUUCUUUUAUUUUUCUGUUUUUGCUUUGUGUUAAUAUUCGACUCUGAUGCAGUUUGAUCUUCUAGGGUUAAUAAUUGAAAAUUGUUCUUGUUCUCUCUCGAAUUUUUGUUAACUGAUAAAUUUGGCAUUAGCUAGCAAUUAGUCUUGAUCAAUAAUUGGUUUAGUUUAGAUUUCUGAUGAUUAGGUCAAUGUUGUUAAUGAGACCAAUUCUCGUUUCGUUAGUUAAUUGUUUCGCUUUGUGUUAGUUGCCAGUAAUGGUUAAUAAGUUUAACUGUUCUUCAAUUGUUUAAAAUAGUUCAAUUUGUUUUUUUACUGAAUUUGUGAUAAUCAUUUGUUGGGUUGUUUGGAUUGUUGAUAUAACUGGGAGUUUAAAGUCAGUUAGUUAAUUGGAGACUGGAUAAACCUUAGUUAAGUUCACCUAAGAUAACGGAAUUUGGAAAGUUAAGAUAGUAAUUGCAGAAUAAAGUUCAGGGGCAUUCUGGGUAAUUGACAUUGACCUUGAAAGUUGUAGGUUAGAGUAGAAGGCCCGAGAAUCUUCUAGAAUAGGGUCAAGUGUAGGGUUUUAGUAAAUGUAAGGCAUUAACUUGUUUUGCAAGCCAGAAAUAAGAGGACCAAAAUGAAAUAAAUGAGGGACUAAUAUUGCAAACUGAAAAUCUGAGGGUUGCCUCAUCUUUGCCUAUAUAAAGUAGCCCCAAUUCCUUAAUUCACAAGUUUGGGUAGCCUAAAAUUUCCCCUCACAAGGUAUUCUCCAGACUUCCAGAUCUGGAAUUAAUAUUUCAGGUCUGAAAUUCCUUUAAAGCUCAACUUCUUCAAAAAGAAAAAUCAAAAACAACAAAAGCUUCAAAAAUAAAAAUAAUGUACCGCAAUAGUCAUUUUUAGGCAAAAUUGUUCAAUUCCAGUCUCAUCUAUUUGUUGAGUUUUAUUGAAGUUUAUUAGUUGGUUUUUUGAGUGGCUUUGGGUCCAUGCAAAUUGAUUUUUACUUGAACUAGUGAAUUUGAUUGGUUUUGAAACAUUUAUGGACCAUCUGGUUGUGAUUUCGAGCUAUUAUGAGUUUGUUCAAGUAGUAUUGGAUUGAGUUGCUAGUUUUCUGUUGACUUGUUGAAUAAUUUCUGGAUUUUGAACCUUUUCCUUGGCUGUUGGUUAUUCCAUAACUGUUGGAAAUUGUUUAUUGCUACUACUGUGAUGCGACUGACCUCAUUUGCUUCUAUUUGUGUCGAUUUCUAGGUACUUUUUGGUUUCCUUUGGUAUUGAUGGACUGAAUCUGUAUGUUGGUCGAUUGAAGAAUAAAAUCCAAGUCUUGUUAACUUAAUGUUGAAUCUGUGCAAUAUCGUUCAAACUGGGAUUUUAGUUGUGUAGCAGUAACAAUAGAGAAUUGGAUAAUUGAAACACUUUUAUAAUUUGUAGUAAGUGAACUGCAGUGGACUAUUGAUUUGAAGUUGUACUCAGUUGUUCUGGAAGUUCUUCAUUAGGAUGUAAUAGUUGAUGCUUGAACAUUUACGAGAAUUCAUCUGGGUUAGUAGUUAGUACUUGAUUUUCAAAAUAAACUGGACGGUAAUAUUGUCAGUAUAUGAAUGCCAAGUUUGUUAGGUUAAGUGGAGUUGAAAAUUAAGUUGAAUUGAGGGUUCAUUCUCACAUUGGGGUUUGGGUAAAAUGGUGACAAUAUUAUUAGUUUUUGAUUGUAAUUUAGUGACUAAAUAUGUAAUGGUUAAUGUGUUUUGGAUUUUGGGCUAGGAUCAAUUCAUUAUUAAAUAUUGGGGCUGUGGGGGUUUGGAUACAGCAAUUCUGUGCACGCGCACAUUGGAAAACGUAGGCUUCCAUUUGGAACUUUGGAGCACCCUUGCGCAGGCUCAAUAUCUAUUUUGUCCUUAAUGUAAAUGGGGCUGGUUUAUAAGCCUGGUUCAUUGCCCAGUUUAAAAUUCAAUUCAAGGUUUACAUAAAAUUUAGGUUUUGAGUUAGGUAGCGGGUUCACUCCCUUUUGUUUGGACCCGGAUGCGAACUUGAAGCCCAAAUUUUAGUAUUAAUUAAUUAAUUAGGUUUUUCUUUUAUUUUAAAGACAAAAAUAAAAAUAGAAAAUAUAGUCGCUCUUAGCCUUACCCUUUAAUAUAAAAAUGAGACAAGCCUCGGCCGAUGAAAUGGAAAAUUGAGGGGUCCUCAAUAAAGGUUUUAAAAAUAAUUAGAAAAUCAGGAAGGAUCAUUAGUGAAUUUCACGACCCUCCCAAAAUAUAAUAACGCGUUAGACUCUUUAGACGCGAUUUUAAUAAAUUUACGUUCCGAAACUCAGGUGUGCAUUUCAUGCGACCAAAAAUAAAUCCCAAAACGUGGAAUAUAGUGUGUUUAGGAUUGCGGGUGCAUUUCAUGUGACGCAAUGCAAAGGCACGCUUUAAACGACGUUCACCUUCCUUUCUU